rnacentral:rRNA from 1 species
AUGAACGCUAGCGGCAGGCCUAAUACAUGCAAGACGAACGGUAAGUUUGAUAGCAAUAUUGAACCUAGAGUGUCGUAAGGGUGCGUAACACGUAUGCAAUCUACCCUCAACAGGAGGAUAGCUCCCCGAAAGGGGAAUUAACACUCCAUAAGAUCACAGGAUGGCAUCAUUCAGUGAUUAAAACUCCGGUGGUUGAGGAUGAGCAUGCGCAUGAUUAGUUAGUUGGCGGGGUAAUGGCCCACCAAGACGAUGAUCAUUAGGGGAACUGAGAGGUUGAUCCCCCACACUGGCACUGAGAUACGGGCCAGACUCCUACGGGAGGCAGCAGUAGGGAAUAUUGGACAAUGGGUGCGAGCCUGAUCCAGCCAUGCCGCGUGCAGGAAGACGGCCUUCUGGGUUGUAAACUGCUUUUGUACGGAACGAAACGGUGAGCUCUAAUAAAGCUUGCUAAUGACGGUACCGUAAGAAUAAGCACCGGCUAACUACGUG